UGGGGAAUUUUGGACAAUGGGGGAAACCCUGAUCCAGCCAUCCCGCGUGUGCGAUGAAGGCCUUCGGGUUGUAAAGCACUUUUGGCAGGAAAGAAACGUCAUGGGUUAAUACCCCGUGAAACUGACGGUACCUGCAGAAUAAGCACCGGCUAACUACGUGCCAGCAGCCGCGGUAAUACGUAGGGUGCAAGCGUUAAUCGGAAUUACUGGGCGUAAAGCGUGCGCAGGCGGUUCGGAAAGAAAGAUGUGAAAUCCCAGAGCUCAACUUUGGAACUGCAUUUUUAACUACCGGGCUAGAGUGUGUCAGAGGGAGGUGGAAUUCCGCGUGUAGCAGUGAAAUGCGUAGAUAUGCGGAGGAACACCGAUGGCGAAGGCAGCCUACUGGGAUAACACUGACACUAAUGCACGAAAGCGUGGGGAGCAAACAGG
rnacentral:rRNA from 1 species